UGGAGGUAUGGGUACAUGUGUUGGAGGUAUGGGUACAUGUGUUUAAGGUAUGGGUACAUGUGUUGGAGGUAUGGGUACAUGUGUUUGAGGUAUGGGUACAUGUGUUUAAGGUAUGGGUACAUGUGUUUGAGGUAUGGGUACAUGGGUUUGAGGUAUGGGUACAUGUGUUUAAGGUAUGGGUACAUGUGUUUGAGGUAUGGGUACAUGUGUUUGAGGUAUGGGUACAUGUGUUGGAGGUAUGGGUACAUGUGUUGGAGGUAUGGGUACAUGUGUUGGAGGUAUGGGUACAUGUGUUUGAGGUAUGGGUACAUGUGUUUGAGGUAUGGUAACAAAAGCUUCAAGUUGUGUUAUUCUAGUCUAAGCAUGGGUCUGUAGUGUUCAAGUAACUGGUAAAAACUGUAAUAAGAACCUGGAUAUCAAUCAAUCAAUCAAAUGUAUUUAUAAAGCCCUUUUUCCAACAGCAGUUGUCACAAAGUGCCUUACAGAGACACCCGACCUUAAACCCCAAAGAGCAAACAACAGUAGUGUUGAAUUUCAGUGGCUAAGAAAAACUCCCUAAGAAGGUAGAAUUUUAGGAAGAAACCUAGAGAGGACCCAGGCUCAGAGGGGUGACCAGUCCUCUUCUGGAUAAUAUUGUAGGGGUCAUCAUGGAAACAUUAGGCCAGUGCAAACUUUGACUGUGUUAUUAGACAUAGGGUCUGAAAGGGUUAGGGUUUAUGCAGUAAAGGUUAGGGUUAAUGCAGUAAAGGUUAGGGUUAG
ensembl:lncRNA